rnacentral:rRNA from 1 species
GGAGCUUGCUCUUCUUGGAUGAGUUGCGAACGGGUGAGUAACGCGUAGGUAACCUGCCUUGUAGCGGGGGAUAACUAUUGGAAACGAUAGCUAAUACCGCAUAACAAUGGAUGACACAUGUCAUUUAUUUGAAAGGGGCAAUUGCUCCACUACAAGAUGGACCUGCGUUGUAUUAGCUAGUAGGUGAGGUAACGGCUCACCUAGGCGACGAUACAUAGCCGACCUGAGAGGGUGAUCGGCCACACUGGGACUGAGACACGGCCCAGACUCCUACGGGAGGCAGCAGUAGGGAAUCUUCGGCAAUGGGGGCAACCCUGACCGAGCAACGCCGCGUGAGUGAAGAAGGUUUUCGGAUCGUAAAGCUCUGUUGUAAGUCAAGAACGAGUGUGAGAGUGGAAAGUUCACACUGUGACGGUAGCUUACCAGAAAGGGACGGCUAACUACGUGCCAGCAGCCGCGGUAAUACGUAGGUCCCGAGCGUUGUCCGGAUUUAUUGGGCGUAAAGCGAGCGCAGGCGGUUUGAUAAGUCUGAAGUUAAAGGCUGUGGCUCAACCAUAGUUCGCUUUGGAAACUGUCAAACUUGAGUGCAGAAGGGGAGAGUGGAAUUCCAUGUGUAGCGGUGAAAUGCGUAGAUAUAUGGAGGAACACCGGUGGCGAAAGCGGCUCUCUGGUCUGUAACUGACGCUGAGGCUCGAAAGCGUGGGGAGCGAACAGGAUUAGAUACCCUGGUAGUCCACGCCGUAAACGAUGAGUGCUAGGUGUUGGAUCCUUUCCGGGAUUCAGUGCCGCAGCUAACGCAUUAAGCACUCCGCCUGGGGAGUACGACC